rnacentral:rRNA from 2 species
UGUUUCGGCUAGGGGGCCAUCCCGGCUUACCAACCCGAUGCAAACUGCGAAUACCGGAGAAUGUUAUCACGGGAGACACACGGCGGGUGCUAACGUCCGUCGUGAAGAGGGAAACAACCCAGACCGCCAGCUAAGGUCCCAAAGUCAUGGUUAAGUGGGAAACGAUGUGGGAAGGCCCAGACAGCCAGGAUGUUGGCUUAGAAGCAGCCAUCAUUUAAAGAAAGCGUAAUAGCUCACUGGUCGAGUCGGCCUGCGCGGAAGAUGUAACGGGGCUAAACCAUGCACCGAAGCUGCGGCAGCGACACUGUGUGUUGUUGGGUAGGGGAGCGUUCUGUAAGCCGUUGAAGGUGUCCUGUGAGGGGUGCUGGAGGUAUCAGAAGUGCGAAUGCUGACAUAAGUAACGAUAAAGCGGGUGAAAAGCCCGCUCGCCGGAAGACCAAGGGUUCCUGUCCAACGUUAAUCGGGGCAGGGUGAGUCGACCCCUAAGGCGAGGCCGAAAGGCGUAGUCGAUGGGAAACGGGUUAAUAUUCCCGUACUUGGUGUUACUGCGAAGGGGGGACGGAGAAGGCUAUGUUGGCCGGGCGACGGUUGUCCCGGUUUAAGCGUGUAGGUGUGUGUUCCAGGUAAAUCCGGUUCACUUUAACACUGAGGCGUGAUGACGAGGCACCACGGUGCUGAAGCAACAAAUGCCCUGCUUCCAGGAAAAGCCUCUAAGCAUCAGGUAACAUCAAAUCGUACCCCAAACCGACACAGGUGGUCAGGUAGAGAAUACCAAGGCGCUUGAGAGAACUCGGGUGAAGGAACUAGGCAAAAUGGUGCCGUAACUUCGGGAGAAGGCACGCUGACACGUAGGUGAAGUGAUUUACUCAUGGAGCUGAAGUCAGUCGAAGAUACCAGCUGGCUGCAACUGUUUAUUAAAAACACAGCACUGUGCAAACACGAAAGUGGACGUAUACGGUGUGACGCCUGCCCGGUGCCGGAAGGUUAAUUGAUGGGGUCAGCGCAAGCGAAGCUCCUGAUCGAAGCCCCGGUAAACGGCGGCCGUAACUAUAACGGUCCUAAGGUAGCGAAAUUCCUUGUCGGGUAAGUUCCGACCUGCACGAAUGGCGUAAUGAUGGCCAGGCUGUCUCCACCCGAGACUCAGUGAAAUUGAACUCGCUGUGAAGAUGCAGUGUACCCGCGGCAAGACGGAAAGACCCCGUGAACCUUUACUAUAGCUUGACACUGAACAUUGAGCCUUGAUGUGUAGGAUAGGUGGGAGGCUUUGAAGCGUGGACGCCAGUCUGCGUGGAGCCGACCUUGAAAUACCACCCUUUAAUGUUUGAUGUUCUAACGUGGACCCGUAAUCCGGGUUGCGGACAGUGUCUGGUGGGUAGUUUGACUGGGGCGGUCUCCUCCUAAAGAGUAACGGAGGAGCACGAAGGUUGGCUAAUCCUGGUCGGACAUCAGGAGGUUAGUGCAAUGGCAUAAGCCAGCUUGACUGCGAGCGUGACGGCGCGAGCAGGUGCGAAAGCAGGUCAUAGUGAUCCGGUGGUUCUGAAUGGAAGGGCCAUCGCUCAACGGAUAAAAGGUACUCCGGGGAUAACAGGCUGAUACCGCCCAAGAGUUCAUAUCGACGGCGGUGUUUGGCACCUCGAUGUCGGCUCAUCACAUCCUGGGGCUGAAGUAGGUCCCAAGGGUAUGGCUGUUCGCCAUUUAAAGUGGUACGCGAGCUGGGUUUAGAACGUCGUGAGACAGUUCGGUCCCUAUCUGCCGUGGGCGCUGGAAGACUGAGGGGGGCUGCUCCUAGUACGAGAGGACCGGAGUGGACGCAUCACUGGUGUUCGGGUUGUCAUGCCAAUGGCACUGCCCGGUAGCUAAAUGCGGAAAAGAUAAGUGCUGAAAGCAUCUAAGCACGAAACUUGCCCC